rnacentral:rRNA from 1 species
AUUGAACGCUGGCGGCAGGCCUAACACAUGCAAGUCGAACGAGUGGCGGACGGGUGAGUAAUGUCUGGGAAACUGCCUGAUGGAGGGGGAUAACUACUGGAAACGGUAGCUAAUACCGCAUACCAUUGGAUGUGCCCAGAUUGGAUUAGCUAGUAGGUGGGGUAAAGGCUCACCUAGGCGACGAUCCCUAGCUGGUCUGCGAGGAUGACCAGCCACAAUGGAGCUGAGAAACGGUCCAGAGUCCUACGAGAGGCAGCAGUGGGGAAUAUUCCACAAUGGGCGCAAUCCUGAUGCAGCCAUGCCGCGUGUAUGAAGAUGGCCUUCGGGUUGUAAAGUACUUUCAGCGGGGAGGCGUUACCCGCAGAAGAAGCACCGGCUAACUACGUGCCAGCCGCCGCGGUAAUUC